GACGAACGCUGGCGGCGUGCUUAACACAUGCAAGUCGAACGGAAAGGCCCUGCUUUUGUGGGGUGCUCGAGUGGCGAACGGGUGAGUAACACGUGAGUAACCUGCCCUUGACUUUGGGAUAACUUCAGGAAACUGGGGCUAAUACCGGAUAGGAGCUCCUGCUGCAUGGUGGGGGUUGGAAAGUUUCGGCGGUUGGGGAUGGACUCGCGGCUUAUCAGCUUGUUGGUGGGGUAGUGGCUUACCAAGGCUUUGACGGGUAGCCGGCCUGAGAGGGUGACCGGCCACAUUGGACUGAGAUACGGCCCAGACUCGUACGGGAGGCAGCAGUGGGGAAUAUUGCACAAUGGGCGGAAGCCUGAUGCAGCAACGCCGCGUGCGGGAUGACGGCCUUCGGGUUGUAAACCGCUUUCGCCUGUGACGAAGCGUGAGUGACGGUAAUGGGUAAAGAAGCACCGGCUAACUACGUG
rnacentral:rRNA from 1 species